rnacentral:rRNA from 1 species
GACGAACGCUGGCGGCGUGCUUAACACAUGCAAGUCGAACGGAAAGGCCCUGCUUUUGUGGGGUGCUCGAGUGGCGAACGGGUGAGUAACACGUGAGUAACCUGCCCUUGACUUUGGGAUAACUUCAGGAAACUGGGGCUAAUACCGGAUAGGAGCUCCUGCUGCAUGGUGGGGGUUGGAAAGUUUCGGCGGUUGGGGAUGGACUCGCGGCUUAUCAGCUUGUUGGUGGGGUAGUGGCUUACCAAGGCUUUGACGGGUAGCCGGCCUGAGAGGGUGACCGGCCACAUUGGGACUGAGAUACGGCCCAGACUCCUACGGGAGGCAGCAGUGGGGAAUAUUGCACAAUGGGCGGAAGCCUGAUGCAGCAACGCCGCGUGCGGGAUGACGGCCUUCGGGUUGUAAACCGCUUUCGCCUGUGACGAAGCGUGAGUGACGGUAAUGGGUAAAGAAGCACCGGCUAACUACGUGCCAGCAGCCGCGGUGAUACGUAGGGUGCGAGCGUUGUCCGGAUUUAUUGGGCGUAAAGGGCUCGUAGGUGGUUGAUCGCGUCGGAAGUGUAAUCUUGGGGCUUAACCCUGAGCGUGCUUUCGAUACGGGUUGACUUGAGGAAGGUAGGGGAGAAUGGAAUUCCUGGUGGAGCGGUGGAAUGCGCAGAUAUCAGGAGGAACACCAGUGGCGAAGGCGGUUCUCUGGGCCUUUCCUGACGCUGAGGAGCGAAAGCGUGGGGAGCGAACAGGCUUAGAUACCCUGGUAGUCCACGCUGUAAACGGUGGGUACUAGGUGUGGGGUCCAUUCCACGGGUUCCGUGCCGUAGCUAACGCUUUAAGUACCCCGCCUGGGGAGUACGGCCGCAAGGCUAAAACUCAAAGGAAUUGACGGGGCCCCGCACAAGCGGCGGAGCAUGCGGAUUAAUUCGAUGCAACGCGUAGAACCUUACCUGGGUUUGACAUGGAUCGGGAGUGCUCAGAGAUGGGUGUGCCUCUUUUGGGGUCGGUUCACAGGUGGUGCAUGCCUGUCGUCAGCUCGUGUCGUGAGAUGUUGGGUUAAGUCCCGCAACGAGCGCAACCCUUGUUCACUGUUGCCAGCACGUUAUGGUGGGGACUCAGUGGAGACCGCCGGGGUCAACUCGGAGGAAGGUGGGGAUGACGUCAAGUCCUCAUGCCCCUUAUGUCCAGGGCUUCACGCAUGCUACAAUGGCUGGUACAGAGAGUGGCGAGCCUGUGAGGGUGAGCGAAUCCCGGAAAGCCGGUCUCAGUUCGGAUUGGGGUCUGCAACUCGACCUCAUGAAGUCGGAGUCGCUAGUAAUCGCAGAUCAGCAACGCUGCGGUGAAUACGUUCCCGGG